UAGUAAUCGUGGAUCAGCAUGCCACGGUGAAUACGUUCCCGGGUCUUGUACACACCGCCCGUCACACCAUGGGAGCUGGUAACACCCGAAGUCAGUAGUCUAACCGCAAGGAGGACGCUGCCGAAGGUGGGAUUAGCGACUGGGGUGAAGUCGUAACAAGGUAUC
rnacentral:rRNA from 1 species